UCUGGAGGUUGGGGCAAUGCUUUAGGG
rnacentral:piRNA from 1 species